AAAAACAAGCGUGGCUUCUGUACUUAGCAGCAGUCUUCCUGUCUGGAAAGGAAACAUUGCUCAGAUUGGAGAUACUGGCCAUUUUAUAGACUUCAAAGCAACUUAGGCAACUGAACUGUCAGGCGGGAAAACAGAGUUAUAAGGAUUCAUCUGGGUACUGAAGACAUUUGGGACCUCAGUGAAGUUUCUCCGAGGCCAGAUGGUCACAUUGAUUUUCUGGAAUCAUUUUGAAUAAAAAUGAGCGAGGUGGUGAACGCAAUGCAAGGCUCUCCACGUACUGUCUGGUAUUGUUCAACCAGCUCCACGACUCCCUGAGGGCAGAGAUGAGCAGAUGUUAAUGGAUAAAGCCAGGUGGGAUGAUGUUAUAACAUUUCUCCUACAGCCCCAAAUCUCCCACCUCCUGCAUGUGUGACCUGAGUAAGAGUCGGUGCAAGAAGACGUCGGUGUUCCCAUCUGUGAAAUGAAGGAAUUGACCCCCGAGGAUCUUCCAUUUCUGACAGUGCUUUGGAUUUCAUUGGUUUUGUCACAGGUACCCCCCAAAAGCCUCCAUCUUUGGAUAAGUGAUUAAAACUGCUGAGUAAUUUUCAAUCAAUAAAA
rnacentral:sRNA from 1 species